rnacentral:sRNA from 1 species
CUGCGGCAGCGGUGGUUGUGUGCGCUCGUCCCUUGGAUUCACCACCAGGACUCCACACUCAGCUCCAGUGCCUUGAAAAGUGUUUAGUGUGCAAAUAAUCAAACCAAGAAACCAAAAAACCCAAAAAAAAAACAAAAUAGAAGAAAAACUGCCAAGGAAAAAGUAACCAUUAGAGAAGUGGUUAAAGUGACAAAACCUGAAACUGUCGAGGACAUUAUUGUGUGAGUGAGAUAAGGACUUGCCGAGACAGUGGCCCGAUGACUACGACAAUGGCUACGCCCAAGGCCUAGGCAAGUUGAACGCCCACACAAGCGCAAUGAAACACACACACACACACACGCACACACGGAAACACACACUCGCAGGACGAACAGGAGGAGCAGGACACGCAGCCUGGCAAAUGGCUUGUUUUCGGUUCUUAAAUUGUUUUAUUUUUCCCCAGCCAUCCUCCUUUAUUAUUUAGCGCGGUUCGUCCUGUGCACUGUGUGGACAUUAUGUGGCCAGGACCUCCUGCCAUAUGUUUACUCAGUAUUUGUGUGGGUGGCUCGACGGGGCGCUCUUUAAAUUGAAAUAAAACAAGCCAACGAGAAACCAACGACAUCCCUUUAAGCUAAUGGAGAGCCUUAUCUGUGGCCGAUCCAUCGAUUCCCAAAAAAGGACGAAAGCAUAUGUGGCUGCAUGAAGUGCUGCCUCUGCCUUUGAAUGACUGAAAGCUGGCGAGGAUUAGCCACAAGGACAGCGGUAAGUGGCCGUCGAGUCUGGCAAAUUAUGCAACUUAAUGCGCUCGUAUGCCAAUGUACAUAAUGCAUAAUUAAUUUGGCCCGACAUGCACAACCUGUUGAGCCGCAAAAGCACUCACCUUGGCGUCCUUCACUCCACCCUUACCGCCUCGAAUCCCGUUGCCAUUCCAACUGAGCCGCUGCCUCAUUGAAAAGUGGCAUAACGAGCUCUUGUGCCCCGGCUUAAAAGCGCUUACAAAUUGCUACAUGAAAAUGUCUGCCAAGCGAGGCGGUGGAAGGCGGAGGAGGCGGGGGAAAAGCGAGGAAAAUGGAAAACGUAAGGGCAGCGCAAAUGAAGCUGUGAAAGAGGGGCACCGGCGGGGGCUUUCAUCAACACUUCAGGGCUAUUGCAAAGGGCAAGUUGAAAACUGAAACUGCAACUGAAGCGCUUUUCCACACACACCCACACACACACACACACGUUGGAAAACACGGCGGAGAGUGAAAAAACCUCCGGCUUUUUAAUGAGUCAAGUGGCCAACACGUGAAACACUCACAGAAUGCACUGAGAACAUUCAUAUGUAAUGAAGGUAUGAAUAAUAUCUAUUAACUAGAGAUAGCCUGCUAUAAAUACUAAUAAUAUUUAAUAAUGCCACAAAUUUAGUGUAAUAAUAAUUAUUUUAAAAAAUUCCUGAGGCAAUAGCUUUAUACCUUUAGGCAAUGGUUUUAGUAUAACGAAUCGCUUCUCAAACUAUAUAACUAAUUAAAAUUUAUAGGUAGAUCAAACGCGAACAUUUGUUUCCAGUGCACACAUAUCCGUGUGUAAUGACGCACAUUUUGACUGACUUUUGUGCGAAUGUAGUCGAACGAAAUAAACCGUUUUGCCUUUGAGCCGAAUUGAGUUUCAUUUGAGUUGGCCCGCUGAUUCGUUCACUCGUUUUCGUUUUCGGGCGUCAUGCCAACGCCGUUUGAGUUUUUGCCUUGCUUUUAUAAUUGCAUGUCGACUCUUAAUGAGCUGGGCGCCAUGCAAUUUGUACUUUCGCUGAGCAAACAGCGAAAAGCGAACAGGAGGCUAAAAGCAAAGGAUUUCCCAUUUUCCUGCCACUUGAAGUUGGCGCUGCGGAUGGGGUUUGCCUGUUUCGGAGUUGCCGGGAAAAACUCUGCGAAAAAUAGAGCGCAGAAAGUUGGGCUCUUGUUCAAAUGGAUUUCGGUCGUAAGCGAAAUAAAACCGCAAAACUCAAAAUGAAAUGAGUAAAUUGCGGUUGAAGUUGCCAAAAGCUUCAGCACUCCUGCCUUUUUUGGAAUGUGUGGUUUUCGUUUUGCUUGGCCACAUCUGCGGCACUCUGCACAGAAAAUAUCCUUAAAGUUUUUCAAGCUUUAAAAAGGCGAAAAGAUAAAGCCAUUUGAAUAGCAAACAUUCUUUUUGCCCGAAAUUGCGUAAAUAUAUGUGGGAUAUCGAAAGCAAACAUAUUCCGCUUAUCAAGGCACUUUGCAAAAACGUUUUAUUUGAUUUACUAUCCGAUGCUUAGAUUUCGAAAUUAUAUGAAAAUGUACAUACAUAUAUCUUUAAAACUCUGCAUACUCGAAAAUUCUAUUUAUUUUCUAUGCUUGCUCAGUUUGCCUGGCAACGUCGUUUCUUCGGCGAAACCUGUGAAAAUGCCUUUCAUCGCAGCCGGCAACCAUAAAGAUUUAACCGAUAAUAGGAUACACAAAACGAAUGUGAAUUUUUCAGUUCUUAAUGCCAAAACGAAGUCAGAGGCUAAACAUAAGAGUCGAAGACCAUAAACAAUCCUGACAGGACGUGAGGAGGAGCAGGGGAAGGACCUGAGACCUGGGCAAAUAGCAAGCGAGGGGUGAAUAGCUUUAAAGCUGAUGCAUAAAAUAUUGCGUAUACGCCCCAUUAUGCCAUACGACGAACGCACAACGACACAUGGGGCAGACGAACAUGAACGGCAGACUUCUAAACCAUAUAUCGUAUGUAUAAUUGAAAACAAAUUUUACUGCAUGUAAUUGAGUGUGUUUGUUUGCGGACUAGUGCCUAUACAUACACAUAUGCAGCUCGAAGUGUUUGUGUGUGUGGGCGGGUGGGUGUGUCUUGAUAUCGAUAACGAAUGCCACAAAUUGAAUUUAAAUCAUAUUACAUACAAACAAGCAGCACAGACACAAAACAGGCCGGGUUUUCGACUGGGGAUAGGGAUUGGGCUCUUGGCCGCGCCAUCGCCAUCCUCGCUUGUUUUAUUUAUGGCUGCAACAGCAACGAUAACAAGUGCAACUGCAACAGCUACACGGAGAAAAAAUCUAGGAACUAAAAUGAAGAUAUAACAUUUUGGUUUGAGUCAAGACAACGAAAUAAAUAUACCAUUUAAUUUUUGCAGACGUCCUCGUGAAUCAAAAUUGUUGUCUGUUGAAAUGUGGUUCUAAUUGGCAAGACUAUGACUUUAUAAAUUCGUAUUUAAACAAGAAGAUCUGUAUUGCAAUUUCGAAAUGUAAUCCACUUAAUAGAGCACAAAAUCUGCUCACUGGAAUUUCAGAUCAAAAUCUUGAAUUUGAAUUGUGGUUUUCCCCGUGUACCACAACCAAAGUUUGAGCAACGCCUUUGCCUUCGCAUUGAGCCGCAUUUGAAUUCGGGUUUUGAGAUUUUCAUUUUAUGCAUUCAGUGCACACGCUCAGCCGAAACAAGCCAGCCAAUCUCCUCGAAUAUCCUUCCAAGGAUAUUCCGCCUCCGACUCCCCGUCCUCUUAAUUGCCUGCUCUGCAUUGGGAUGCCAUAAAUUUAUGCAUUGCAUUCUGGCAGCAGCCAAACGUAUUGCCCCGCCACUGCCAUAGAAAUUGGCUCACAAUCUGACAAUGGCACCCAAAGCGAGUCCAUCCGGAAGACACCGCCCAGACGGAGGCCGUAAAUAAAUGUUUGAUAAGCAGUCAAUAUGAUUUGAUGGGGGAAAAGCAAUUAAAGUCGAUCGCUUAAAACGAAAUUUAAAUGCUGUCAAAAUAAGAAAGUCCCCCGAUAGAAUAGAUAGAUAUUUACCCAGCAAUUUGCUCAGACAAACAGCCGUCGCAUCUCAGGGGCAUCUAUGCCAGAAAUCGAACUGGGAUGCUCGCAAAAAUCCAUGUGAUGUGCAAAUAAACGGCCACUAAGUUAUGGGCUCAAGUCAAUUCCGACACUCGAGGUGUCCAUCCGAGCUGGCACGACCCAAUAUCUGGAAGCUCUGAAUGGAGUUGGACUUAGUCCUUCUGCUUAGAGGAACGUGUUUUCGCCUGACUUGGGAACGUGACGCACGUGCGUGCAAAAAUUCAAAGGACCCAAACUCGGGGAGGUGCACUACGUAUUGACGUUAAUAUUUUGCUCGGCACUUGUAACGUGGUGCAAUGCAAAAUGCGAAGCUGAAAAAUAAAACGCAAAACUGAAAGGAGUAAAUACCAGGCGCAAACUAGAAAUGCGCAGGGAAAAAAUGUUGCGACUCAAGUGAAUUGCGAAAGAAUUGUUCUUAAAACUCUCAAAAUUAGUUGCUGAACUAUAAUUCGGAAAAAAAUAAUACUGAGAAAAGUGAGUACUUGGAAUACACUCAG